CCUACGAGUGGCAGCAGUGAGGCAUAUUGGUCAAUGGGCGCGAGCCAGAACCAGCCAAGUAGCGUGAAGGAUGACUGCCCUACGGGUUGUAAACUUCUUUUAUACAGGAAUAAAGUGAGGCACGUGUGCCUUUUUGUAUGUACUUUAUGAAUAAGGAUCGGCUAACUCCGUGCCAGCAGCCGCGGUAAUACGGAGGAUCCGAGCGUUAUCCGUAUUUAUUGGGUUUAAAGGGAGCGUAGAUUGGUUGUUAAGUCAGUUGUGAAAGUUUGCGGCUCAACCGUAAAAUUGCAAUUGAUACUGGCAGUCUUGAGUACAGUUGAGGUAGGCGGAAUUCGUGGUGUAGCGGUGAAAUGCUUAGAUAUCACGAAGAACUCCGAUUGCGAAGGCAGCUUACUAAACUGCCACUGACAUUGAUGCUCGAAAGUGUGGGUAUCAAACAGGAUUAGAUACCCGAGUAGUC
rnacentral:rRNA from 1 species